rfam:Escherichia coli ISC11, WGS project CBWP01000000 data, contig: c33
AUAAAAACACAAUACCCGGUAAAUCUGAAAAUAUCAGAAACAGGAUAACGUUGAAUAAAUUAUUUUAGGAUUAAGCUCAAUUAAAGGGUGAAGUAAAAACGUAGAUAUCCUGGAGUAAUCUUAUAAAAAAGCCGAUAUUAAUAUCGGCUUUUUUAUUUCAU